ACACACACACACACACAUGAUGGCUCAGUCAUAGUCUGCCAUGACACCGUAUACAAGUAGGUACACACACACACACACAUGAUGGCUCAGUCAUAGUCUGCCAUGACACCGUAUACAAGUAGGUACACACACAUGAUGUCAUAGUCUGCCAUGACACCGUAUACAAGUAGGUACACACACACACAUGAUGGCUCAGUCAUAGUCUGCCAUGGCACCGUAUACAAGUAGGUACACACACACACACACACAUGAUGGCUCAGUCAUAGUCUGCCAUGACACCGUAUACAAGUAGGUACACACACACACACACAUGAUGUCAUAGUCUGCCAUGACACCGUAUACAAGUAGGUACACACACACACACACACACGAUGUCAUAGUCUGCCAUGACACCGUAUACAAGU